rnacentral:rRNA from 1 species
AAUUUUCCGCAAUGGGCGAAAGCCUGACGGAGCAAUACCGCGUGAGGGAGGAAGGCUCUUGGGUUGUAAACCUCUUUUCUCAAGGAAGAAGUUCUGACGGUACUUGAGGAAUAAGCAUCGGCUAACUCCGUGCCAGCAGCCGCGGUAAUACGGAGGAUGCAAGCGUUAUCCGGAAUGAUUGGGCGUAAAGCGUCCGCAGGUGGUUAUGCAAGUCUACUGUUAAAGAGUGAAGCUUAACUUCAUAAUGGCGGUGGAAACUGCAUGACUAGAGUGCGUUCGGGGCAGAGGGAAUUCCUGGUGUAGCGGUGAAAUGCGUAGAUAUCAGGAAGAACACCGGUGGCGAAAGCGCUCUGCUAGGCCGUAACUGACACUGAGGGACGAAAGCUAAGGGAGCGAAUGGGAUUAGAUACCCCAGUAGUCUUAGCCGUA